rnacentral:lncRNA from 1 species
AUGCCAGUGAGGCUGUGCUGCGGCUGAGCGGGCCUCCCAUCCCUCUUAAAAGAGUUAGGCAUUUAGCCAUGCCUCCCACCCGGGACCCUUUCCAGCAGCCUACAUUAGAUAACGAUGAUUCCUACUUAGGAGAACUGCGGGCUUCCAAGAACCAAGAUCCAAUUCCCUGGAGAAUUUUUAACCCCUCCCACUCCACCCAUCACUUUCCUGGCUAACAUCAGACACUGGAUCAACCCUAAAAAGGAGUCCAUCCACAGCAUCCAAGGAUCCAUAGUGUCCCCUCACACUGCAGCCACCAAUGGAGGCUACUCCCGAAAGAAAGAUGGUGGCUUCUUCUCCACCUAGUGUUGACAGAUCCCUGAACUAAUUAUAGUGAAACAUACUGCGGCCCACUUCCAUUAAAUAGAUUUGUGCAAGA